UAAAGGACAAAGAUUUCAAUGUGCGCUCUGUGUAGAACAAGAUCCAAGGAUGCCCUGAAACAACAUUAGCAGUCAUCUUAGCCGAUGCAACUGAAAGGAACACCUUCAGAGCGCUACUUGACAUUGCACUGGCUCAGAAGGCAAAAUUACGAGCUGCAGCAAGAACCAUAUUGAAUACUUCAC